rnacentral:rRNA from 1 species
UACGGAGGGUGCGAGCGUUGUCCGGAAUCACUGGGCGUAAAGGGCGCGUAGGCGGCUCAUGAAGGCUGUGGUGAAAGUCCGGGGCUCAACCUCGGAUCGGCCGUGGCGACUCGUGGGCUGGAGCACUGUAGAGGCGGGUGGAAUUCCGGGUGUAGCGGUGGAAUGCGUAGAGAUCCGGAAGAACACCAGUCGCGAAGGCGGCCCGCUGGGCAGUGGCUGACGCUGAAGCGCGACAGCGUGGGGAGCAAACAGG